AAAAACAUAGCCCUAGGUAAUAAUAUAGGGUAAUACCUGCUCAAUGAAUAGUAUUUUAAUAGCCGCGGUACCUUGACCGUGCUAAGGUAGCAUAAUCAGUUGACUUUUAAAUGAAGUCUGGAAUGAAGGGAAGAAUGGGAUUGAGCUGUCUCCUAUUUUUUAUUAUGAAUUUACUAAUCAGGUGAAAAGGCCUGAGUAAGAUAAAAGACGAGAAGACCCUUAGAGUUUUUUAAAAUAUUUUGUUGGGGCGACAAAGAAUCAUUUAACAUUCUUAUAUAUGAUGAGACGGAUUUUUCAUGAAUAGAUAAACUACCUGAGGGAUAACAGCAUUAUCUUUUUAGGUUUGUGACCUCGAUGUUGGACUAGGAAGCCUAUAGGCUAGCCGCUUAUACGGGGGGUUCUGUUCGAACUUUUUCUCCUACGUGAUCUGAG
rnacentral:rRNA from 1 species